UUAUAUGUAACUAAGAACGAGAUUCGCCCACUCAACACGAACUUCAUCAAUAUCCUCUUUAGUAUACGAUUGUCAAACUAUAUAAAAGAUAAACUAUUGUUUAAUAUGAAAUAUCUAUAAUGGAGAUUUAAGUCAAAUUACAUACAUGUGGAUGUAGGCAAAUGCGACCAUUCCUCAUAAGCUCUUCAAUAAUUUCUUUCAUGUAAUGCAUCACGAAAAAUCCACAUUGCACGGAAUCAGGUUGUCUUGGAGACUACAUAAAAGUUAUAAGGAUUAGUAGGUAAAAGAUUAUAAUUAAAUACAAUAAUUUUAUUUCUCAUUACCUUUAUAAUAUCCCAAGUAGGUUGUUUUUUACCUCUUUUUCCCAAUUUGGCAUUGAAUAUAAAAAUAGCCCUUUAAACAAAAAACAAANCACUUUUAUAAAUUGAAGUUGUCCCAUGGAGCCACAUAAUUCUUUAUUUUCUGAGAGAAAUUUAUUUAUGGUAAAAAAAAUAAUAGUCGUACAAUCUAUAAAUUUUUGCUACAAAUUUAUAUCUCUAUCAAUCGGCAUAAAUCUAACCCAAAUUAUUGGUGAAAAACUACUGACGGAAAGAGCAGAAAAACAUAUGAAUAAUUAAACUAUUGGGAUCGAAUGACAUUCUUAUUAAUUGUAUUGUUCCCUCAAAAGAAAGAAAUCCCUCAAAAAAUAAUUAAUUAUCUUGUACUCCCUCCGUCCCGCACAAAGUGGUGCGUUUCUUUUGGGUACGGAGUUGUAGAUUAGUGUUUUAAGUGUGUAGGAGAGAUGAGGUAAUAAAGUGAUAAAAUAGGAGAGAGAAUGUGAUAAAGUAGGAGAUGGAAGGUAAUAAAGUGAUAAAGUAGGAGAGAGAAUGUAAUAAGGGAGUUAUUAAGGAAAAAUAAGGGGUAUCUAAUUUUUGCCAAAAAAGAAAAUGCACCACUUUCAGUGGGACAGCACGUCAAGUGAUUCAGCUUGAAAAAUAUAAAUUAUUAGUAUAUACAACUUAUAUUUAUCCACUAAAAUUAAUAAUAGUUGUAUUAAAUCUCUAAUUAAUUUUAUUUGUUAUAAAAAAUAAUUAAUAUAUUUAUUAUUUUAAAUAAAAUAAUCAAUAUUUUGCAUAUAAAUAUAAAUUUAGAAAGUUCGUAUAGGUUCGAUUAGGUUCGUGAGCCGCUCGCAAGCCUCAAAGUAUUCGGUAAGUAAAGUUUGGGAUUCGAUUCGAUACUAAACAAACCAAACUUGAGUACACCACUAUUCGGUUCGGCUCGAUUCGAUUACACCCUACACAUAUACAUACUUUUAGCUUUCCUAUUUUUUCAUAUGUUGUUUGACAACUUCCUGCGAAUUAAUUAAUUGGAGGGACAUGAACACCCCAAUUACGUCGUUUAAUCCCGAUCAUUUAAAUCAUGUAUAAAUUUCAAACAUCCAACAGAUUUUACAUUUGUGUGAAAAAAAAAACAAUUAAAAAUUAUAUAUUUGAAGUUAAAUGUUUAGUUAAUAAGCACAAUCUUUUGCGUAUAUAAACGUAAUUACCCAAAAAUCAGGCUUAACUUUUUUCAAUUCAUUGGAUUUGUAAUGGCUCGAACUCACGAAGCUAGUAGUAGUUGUUUGAAGUCAUUCCAAAUCCAAUGAAUUGAUACUAGUAUGUGAUCUGUCGAAAUUUAACGGGUCUAUUAAAAUAUAAAUUUAUAAAAUUAUUAAUGCAUUUUUUUGUUUCAUGAAUUAUUUUUUCAUAAAGAUAGAAAAUUUAAUAAAAUUAUUUUAAAGUAAAAAAGUUAUAAUAUUUAUUUGAAAUUGACCUAAUUUUUAUAAAAUUUAUAUGUAAGCAGAGUUUCAAUCCAAAAAAUAUUAAAUGAGAAAUUGGAACAAUUAUUNAUUUAACAAUCGUAGUACUAGAUGGUGUAGUCUAUUCCCAUCAAUAUAGACUACGUUGAUUAAAUCGUAGUCUAUUCCCAUCAAUAUAGUACACGUUGAUUAAACCGUAGUCUAUAGUUACUUGAGAUUACACUUUUAGACGCACAUACACUACGUGAAUCAGAUGUAAUCUAUAUGCAAUCAUAUACGACACGUGGAAACCGUAGUUAAUUAUGUUCAGCAAUGUAGUGUAUUGGAUGAAUAGACUACGGUUUGUCAACUAGAAAUGGUAGUCUAUAGUCUUUAUAGACUACAACAAUGGAUAUUUAUGACUACGGUUUUCUAUUUAGAUUGAUAGUCUUUGCGGUAUUUAUACUACGAUAUAUUGAUCAAUUACCACACUAAAACACCGUAGUAAAUUAGUUGCAAAGACUACAGUGGUCAUUAUGUAGUCUACUAUUCAAUUUAACAUGUAGUUAAAUUUAUUAUUUAUUAAAAAUUAACAAAAAAUGAAAAACAAAUAUUGAUGCACCAAAAAAUUAUAAUUGUCAUAUAUACUUUCACAAUAUUUCAUAAUCUGAUAAAUGUACACUGAAAUGAAGCUAAUAUACGACAUGAGAUUAAAUAUAUCAAAAUAAAGAAAGUACAAUAUUUUUUUUCAAAAACAAGAAUCUUCGUGGAAAAUUCAGCAAAAGUCUCUUAUAUUUUAGCUUCGUUCCCAGCAUAUCCUGGCACAAAAUUAAAACAAGAUCUGUCAUGAAAACAAAUAAACCAAUCAUGUCAACAAAGUAUUUCUUACACUUCAAACAAAAUUCCAACUAAUUGCACAACAUAUAUUACUUUAAAAGUAUAUUUCUUUCAUUAAAAUCAAUAGACCAAAUAAAAGUAUAGUAUACAUAUAUAUAUAUAACACAAAUUCAUAUUAGUACACCAAAGUUGCAGAAUAUUACCUCUACUUUUUAUAUGUAACUAAGAAUGAGAUUCGCCCACUCAACACGAACUUCAUCAAUAUCCUCUUUAGUAUAACUCCGAUUGUCAAACUAUAUAAAAGAUAAACUAUUGUUUAAUAUGAAAUAUGUAUAAUGGAGAUUUAAGUCAAAUUACUUACAUGUGGAUGUAGGCAAAUGCGACCAUUCCUCAUAAGCUCUUCAAUAAUUUCUUUCAUGUAACGCAUCACGAAAAAUCCACAUUGCACGGAAUCAGGUUGUCUUGGAGACUACAUAAAAGUGAUAAGGAUUAGUAGGUAAAAGAUUAUAAUUAAAUACAAUAAUUUUAUUUCUCAUUACCUUUAUAAUAUCCCAAGUAGGUUGUCUUUUACCUCUUUUUCCCAAUUUGGCAUUGAAUAUAAAAAUAGCC
rnacentral:lncRNA from 1 species